ensembl:lncRNA
CUUAAUGUUUAUAACCCAAAUUUCACUGACUCAUGCCCAUACUGACAUAAUACAAGACUUAAUUUCCUGCAGAAUUUUCCUUGAGUGUUUCUGGGAGGUGUGGGGAGGAGCCUCCCAGGUGCCGUCAACCCUGCUUCUCUGCGCCUUCUGCUGGUUGAGAGCCACACACGCUUGAGGAGCCAGGGGUGGAGCUGUGUUCUCAGGCAUGCUGACCAGGUCGGAGCCAUUCUGUGCUCGGUAUAGAGGUUACAUGUUAGGAAGAGAAACCAAGGCCCAUGGCAUCUAAGAGAAUGACUCAGAAGCUUGGAGAGGAGGAGAAUGCACUGAAUGAAGAAAGGAAACAGAAUAAAACUCCCUUUAGCUGCGAAUGUGUUGGUGGGCACUCAAGUCCAGACUGACUUAGAGACACCCACCAGGGCCGCAGACUUGCCCACGGAAUCCCUGGUCCCUGGUCUCCUGGCCAAGGUGCUGAGCUUCGGAUUCGGUGUCCUUCGGUCUGCCACCUGGGCACUACCUGGUUCCCCUGCUCCAGCGGAAACCUGUGAAACCCUACCCCUACGCGUGGUCUCAGAACUCUUACACUUCUCUCAGGGUCCAGAAACUUCUGUGUUGUCCAAUUCAAGUGGUUCCUGCAACUCCUCCAUUUAAAGAGGGGCCCAGCUUAAUUCUUAGAAUAAUAAACUGUUUUGUGCUAUCCCGUCAUACAGCUGAGGAAACAGAGGCAUAGAGGCCAGGGCUCAAGGCUGGUAAGCAGCAGAGGCAGAAUUUGGGUGUGGAUGGCCUGGCUUCAGUCCCUGCCCCUGCCUGCUCUGCUGUGUUGCUCUUGGUCUGUGACACGGAGGCUCCUCACUUCUGCUCACCCCUAGGUAUAAGUAAGCAUAUCCCAGCUUUAAAAAAUAAAGUGCCGCUCUUCUUUUCUGGGGUACAGUGAAGGUUAUUAUUGUUGUCUAAUUGCUAAGUUGUGUCCAACUCUUUCGCAGCCCCAUGGACUGUAGCCUGCCAGACUCCUCUGUCCAUGGGAUUUCCCAGGUUUAUGAAUACUGGAGUGGGUUGCCAUUUCCUUCUCCAGGGAUCUAUUCUUCCUGACCCUGGGAUCGAACCCAGUCUCCUGCAUUGGCAGGCAGGUUCUUUCCACUGAGCCACUCAUGGAAGCCUGUAGACAGUGAGGGAAGAAAUAUUAAUUCUCAAAAUUUUUCUUUCUAACCCACUGUUACAUACCUAGUGAAAAACAGUAUGUUGCUUUGAAAACUGCAUUAACUUAAGGUCCUCAUAUCUUAAGUUUUCUCAUAUUAAAUUGGGGAUAGUCCUUCAAC